rnacentral:rRNA from 1 species
AAGGGCGCGCGGUGGAUGCCUAGGCUCUCGGAGGCGAUGAAGGACGCGAUAAGCCGCGAUAGGCCACGGCGAGGUGCAAGUAACCCUUGACCCGUGGAUUUCCGAAUGGGGCAACCCGGCUGGAUAGAUUCCAGUCAUGCAUUAAUGCAAGCGAACGCGGGGAACUGAAACAUCUCAUUACCCGCAGGAGAAGAAAACAACAGUGAUUCCCCCAGUAGUGGCGAGCGAACGGGGAAGAGCCCAAACCGCUGCCGUUUCGGCGACAGCGGGGUCAUGGGACUGCGACAUUCGACGAUGGACGAAGUGCAAUUACCUGGAAAGGUAAGCCGUGGAGGGUGACAGCCCCGUGCACGACACCUCCAUCUAAGAUAGCGGUAUCCCGAGUAGGGCGGGACACGAGAAAUCCUGCCUGAAUUCGCCAGGACCUCCUGGCAAGGCUAAAUACUCCCGAGAGACCGAUAGUGAACCAGUACCGCGAGGGAAAGGUGAAAAGUACCCCGAGCAGGGGGGUGAAAUAGACCCUGAACCCGCGCGCCUACAAGCGGUCGGAGCCAUGAAAUAUGGUGACGGCGUGCCUUUUGCAUAAUGAGCCUACGAGUUAGUCGUCACCAGCGAGGUUAAGGGCUUCAGGCCCGUUAGCCGAAGUGAAAGCGAGCCUUAACAGGGCGUCGAGUUGGUGGCGCUAGACGCGAAACCUUGUGAUCUACCCACGAGCAGGUUGAAGUCGCGGUAACACGUGAUGGAGGACCGAACCGGUAAACGUUGAAAAGUUUUCGGAUGACUCGCGGGUAGGGGUGAAAGGCCAAUCAAACUGGGAAAUAGCUCGUACUCUCCGAAAUGCAUUUCGGUGCAGCCUGUGAUGUUCUGUUCCAGAGGUAGAGCUACUGGUUGGACGCGAGGGCUUCACCGCCUAUCAAAUCCGGAUAAACUCCGAAUGCUGGAACACGAAAUCAUGGAGUGAGCCCGCGGGUGCUAAGGUCCGCGGACGAGAGGGAAAGAACCCGGACCACCGGCUAAGGUCCCGGAUGGACAGUUAAGUUGAUCAAACGAGGUGGGAUCGCCGAGACAGCUAGGAUGUUGGCUUGGAAGCAGCCAUUCAUUUAAAGAGUGCGUAACAGCUCACUAGUCGAGCGAUCCCGCGUGGAUAAUACACGGGCAUCAAACUGUCAACCGAAGCCGUGGGGUCAGUGAAUAACUGACCGGUAGGAGAGCAUUCCUGCCAGCUUUGAAGGUCACCCGCGAGAGUGACUGGAGCGGCAUGAAAAGCAAAUGUAGGCAUAAGUAACGAUAAUGGGGGCGAGAACCCCCCACGCCGCAAGACCAAGGAUUCCCCGGCAAUGUCAAUCAGCCGGGGGUCAGCCGGCCUCUAAGGCUAACCCGAACGGGGACGCCGACGAGAAACGGGUUAACAUUCCCGUGCUUCUCGUCACCGUGACGCGGUGACGGGGUGAUGAAUGGACCGCGCGCUGACGGAAUAGCGCGUUGAAGGCCGUACCCGAUGACGGUGGUAGUCAAGCACGCCACCGGAGGCGAGAGCCGAUAGUACCACGAGACUCCGGUCGAGUGGAUAGCGUCCAGGCAAUUUACCCCCUAGAAAACCCGCUAAACUUCAAGUGACGAGGAACCGUACUGUAAACGGACACACGUGGUCGGGUAGAACAUACCAAGGCGCUCGAGUGAUUCAUGGUCAAGGAACUAGGCAAAAUAGUCCUGUAACUUCGGGAAAAAGGACGCUCUAGUGAUAGAGCCGCAGAGUAAUGGCCCAGGCGACUGUUUACCAAAAACACAUGGCUAUGCCAAAUCGAAAGAUGACGUAUAUGGCCUGACACCUGCCCGGUGCCGGAAGGUUAAGAGGAGAGCUCAUCCGCGAGGAGAAGGUUUGAAUUGAAGCCCCGGUAAACGGCGGCCGUAACUAUAACGGUCCUAAGGUAGCGAAAUUCCUUGUCGGGUAAGUUCCGACCUGCACGAAUGG